rnacentral:rRNA from 1 species
GACGAACGCUGGCGGCGUGCUUAACACAUGCAAGUCGAACGGAAAGGCCCUGCUUUUGUGGGGUGCUCGAGUGGCGAACGGGUGAGUAACACGUGAGUAACCUGCCCUUGACUUUUGGAUAACUUCAGGAAACUGGGGCUAAUACCGGAUAGGAGCUCCUGCUGCAUGGUGGGGGUUGGAAAGUUUCGGCGGUUGGGGAUGGACUCGCGGCUUAUCAGCUUGUUGGUGGGGUAGUGGCUUACCAAGGCUUUGACGGGUAGCCGGCCUGAGAGGGUGACCGGCAACAUUGGGACUGAGAUACGGCCCAGACUCCUACGGGAGGCAGCAGUGGGGAAUAUUGCAAAAUGGGCGGAAGCCUGAUGCAGCAACGCCGCGUGCGGGAUGACGGCCUUCGGGUUGUAAACCGCUUUCGCCUGUGACGAAGCGUGAGUGACGGUAAUGGGUAAAGAAGCACCGGCUAACUACGUG